rnacentral:rRNA from 1 species
AACGAACGCUGACGGCAUGCCUAACACAUGCAAGUCGAACGAGACCUUCGGGUCUAGUGGCGCACGGGUGCGUAACGCGUGGGAAUCUGCCCUUGGGUUCGGAAUAACAGUUAGAAAUGACUGCUAAUACCGGAUAAUGUCUUCGGACCAAAGAUUUAUCGCCCAGGGAUGAGCCCGCGUAGGAUUAGCUAGUUGGUGAGGUAAAGGCUCACCAAGGCGACGAUCCUUAGCUGGUCUGAGAGGAUGAUCAGCCACACUGGGACUGAGACACGGCCCAGACUCCUACGGGAGGCAGCAGUGGGAAUAUUGGACAAUGGGCGAAAGCCUGAUCCAGCAAUGCCGCGUGAGUGAUGAAGGCCUUAGGGUUGUAAAGCUCUUUUACCCGGGAUGAUAAUGACAGUACCGGGAGAAUAAGCCCCGGCUAACUCCGUGCCAGCAGCCGCGGUAAU